rnacentral:rRNA from 1 species
CAGCCGCCACGGUAAUACGGAGGGUGCAAGCGUUAAUCGGAAUUACUGGGCGUAAAGCGCACGCAGGCGGUCUGUCAAGUCGGAUGUGAAAUCCCCGGGCUCAACCUGGGAACUGCAUUCGAAACUGGCAGGCUAGAGUCUUGUAGAGGGGGGUAGAAUUCCAGGUGUAGCGGUGAAAUGCGUAGAGAUCUGGAGGAAUACCGGUGGCGAAGGCGGCCCCCUGGACAAAGACUGACGCUCAGGUGCGAAAGCGUGGGGAGCAAACAGGAUUAGAUACCCGAGUAGUCCCUGUCUCUUAUAC